rnacentral:lncRNA from 1 species
GUUCAAAUCCUAUCUUUUCCAUUUAAUGACUAUGUGAUCUUAGACAAGUCUUUGUUUCCUCAUUUGUAAAAUGAGGGAAUUAGACUAGAGAAUUUCCAAGACCAAUUCAUCUUUCAUUCUAGUUCUUCCCUUUGGAGAACAAGGGAGAACUGGGACAGGGAGAGAGAUGAUCCAGAAUAACUCUUUACCCUCUUACUGUUAUCAAAGAAAAACAUGGACUGAUUUGAAAUUGAAUUUGAAAUUUUUCAAUUUGAAUUUUAAUUUCUGCUCACCAGAGGUAGAGAGAGUGGAUGGGGGAGUUCUAUUGAAAAGAGUGUUGAACUUGAAGUCAGGAAACCUGGGACCAAGACCCAGCUCUAUAAUUUAUUAGCUUUGUGUCUUUGGGCAAGUCACUUCUUUCUGAGCCAGAAGAUCCUGAAGGACCCUUUGGGGUCUAAUAUUCCAUGAUUCUUGGAAGUCAAGGAUCAUAUACUGAAAGAAAAAAAAUGGCUUUUUUACAGAGCUACUUAGGAACAGUUUUAGGAGUCAUCUGGUCCUUGAUAUAUUCUCAGUAACAUCAUGGUAUAUAGUAGAUAGAUUACAUAGGAAAACCUAGCUUUAAAUACUGCCUUAGACAUAUAAUAACUGUAGGACCCUAGAUAAGUCUCUUAACCUUUCUAGCCUCAUUUCUUCUUCUAUAAGGAAAGAAGGGUUAGACUUCAUUACCUCUAAGGUACCUUCUAGCUUAAAAUCUAUGAUGAAAGAAAAGGUCCAGACAGGAGGCUCUCUUCCCUCUCAACCCUUUCAGCUACCCCCUAUUACAACAUCCCUUCCCCUUAGGCACACUGUGCUUCUUUCUUCUAGCAUCUCCAGGCAAGAACUCCUUCUCCAAAUUGAGGAAGUGUUUUCCGGGGAGACAGAAAAUUCUGGAGCUACAACUUUCAGAUUCACCCAAGAUGACUUAGGAGCCAGCCAAACAUUUGUUAUCAGAUGGGUGGUUGAGAAGUACAUCAGACUACAAGAGCUUAGAUGACACAAAGCUAUG